UACGUAGGGGGCAAGCGUUGUCCGGAUUUAUUGGGCGUAAAGAGCGUGUAGGCGGUCAGGCAGGUCCGUUGUGAAAACUCGAGGCUCAACCUCGAGAUGUCGAUGGAAACCGUCUGGCUAGAGUCCGGAAGAGGAGUGUGGAAUUCCUGGUGUAGCGGUGAAAUGCGCAGAUAUCAGGAGGAAUACCGAUGGCGAAGGCAGGUCUCUGGGCUGACACUGACGCUCAUGCACGAAAGCGUGGGGAGCAAACAGG
rnacentral:rRNA from 1 species